AUACGGAGGGGGCUAGCGUUGUUCAGAAUUACUGGGCGUAAAGCGCGCGUAGGCGGCGUAUCUAGUCAGAGGUGAAAGCCCUGGGCUCAACCCAGGAAUUGCCUUUGAUACUGGUAUGCUUGAGUCCGGGAGAGGGUAGUGGAAUUCCCAGUGUAGAGGUGAAAUUCGUAGAUAUUGGGAAGAACACCAGUUGCGAAGGCGGCUACCUGGCCCGGUACUGACGCUGAGGUGCGAAAGCGUGGGGAGCAAACAGGAUUAGAAACCCCGGUAGUCC
rnacentral:rRNA from 1 species